GUUGUGUUUUACUAUGAGAUUAGCUCACCCUUGCGGGAUUGCUGCCCACUGUCACCGCCAUUGUAGCACGUGUGUAGCCCAGCGCGCACGGGCCAUGAGGACUUGACGUCAUCCCCACCUUCCUCCGGCUUAUCACCGGCGGUUUCCUUAUAG
rnacentral:rRNA from 1 species